UAUUUUGCAUUCAAAUGGGAAGACCCAGAUACACAUAGAAAACAACAAUUAAGGUGGACAGUUUUGCCUCAGGGUUUUACGGAAUCUCCAAACCUGUUUGGGCAGGCCCUGGAGCAAAUUUUACAAGACUAGGAUAGAAUGCCAAGGA